GGCCGCGUAGCUCAGUUGGAAGAGCAUUGGGCUAGUAUUCCAAAGGUCGUAGGUUCGAUUCCCACCGUGGCCG